AUACUUACGUGGCGUAGGGAUACCGUGAUCAUGCAGGCGGUUCCCCCAGGGUGAGGCAGUUCCAUUGCACUGCGGAGUGGUUGACCCUUGCGAUUAUUAUAUCUUUUAUAAGUUUCACUUUUACCGUAUUUGACUUGCACACACGCAUUUUUUUUUUGUUUCUGUAGUCAGACU
rnacentral:snRNA from 9 species